UACGUAGGGUGCAAGCGUUGUCCGGAAUUAUUGGGCGUAAAGAGCUCGUAGGCGGUCUGUCGCGUCUGCUGUGAAAACUCGGGGCUUAACCCCGGGCCUGCAGUGGGUACGGGCAGACUAGAGUGCGGUAGGGGAGACUGGAAUUCCUGGUGUAGCGGUGAAAUGCGCAGACAUCAGGAGGAACACCGGUGGCGAAGGCGGGUCUCUGGGCCGUAACUGACGCUGAGGAGCGAAAGCGUGGGGAGCGAACAGG
rnacentral:rRNA from 1 species